CACACAUGCAAGUCGCAGGGGAAGCUCGCCUUCGGGUGAGUGGAGACUGGCGCACGGGUGAGUAACGCGUGGGAAUCUACCCUGGGGUGGGGGAUAACCGCUGGAAACGGCGGCUAAUACCGCAUACGCCUUUGGAGGGAAAGCUUUAGUGGCCUGGGAGGAGCCCGCGUCCGAAUUAUUAGUUGGUGAGGUAACGGCUUAACAAGGCGACGAUCGGUAGCUGGUCUGAGAGGAUGAUCAGCCACACUGGGACUGAGACACGGCCCAGACUCCUACGGGAGGCAGCAGUGGGGAAUAUUGGACAAUGGGGGCAACCCUGAUCCAGCCAUGCCGCGUGAGUGAAGAAGGCCUUAGGGUUGUAAAGCUCUUUCACCCGUGAAGAUGAUGACGGUAGCGGGAGAAGAAGCCCCGGCUAACUCCGUGCCAGCAGCCGCGGUAAUACGGAGGGGGCGAGCGUUGUUCGGAAUUACUGGGCGUAAAGGGCGCGUAGGCGGACGAUCAAGUCAGGGGUGAAAGGCCUGGGCUCAACCUGGGAACUGCCUUUGAAACUGAUUGUCUAGAGUCCGGGAGAGGAUGGCGGAAUUCCCAGUGUAGAGGUGA
rnacentral:rRNA from 1 species